ACUCAAAUGAAUUGACGGGGACCCGCACAAGCAGCGGAGCAUGUGGUUUAAUUCGAUGCAACGCGAAGAACCUUACCAGGACUUGACAUCCCUCGGACCGGAUUAGAGAUAAUCCCUUCCCUUCGGGGACUGAGGAGACAGGUGGUGCAUGGUUGUCGUCAGCUCGUGUCGUGAGAUGUUGGGUUAAGUCCCGCAACGAGCGCAACCCCUGUCUUUAGUUGCCAUCAGUUAGGCUGGGCACUCUAAAGAGACUGCCGAUGAUAAAUCGGAGGAAGGUGGGGAUGACGUCAAAUCAUCAUGCCCUUUAUGUCCUGGGCUACACACGUGCUACAAUGGUCGGUACACAGGGUUGCCACCUCGCAAGAGGGAGCUAAUCCCAUAAAGCCGAUCCCAGUUCGGAUUGCAGGCUGCAAUUCGCCUGCAUGAAGCCGGAGUUGCUAGUAAUCGUGGAUCAGAAUGCCGCGGUGAAUGCGUUCCCGGGUCUUGUACACACCGCCCGU
rnacentral:rRNA from 1 species